rnacentral:rRNA from 1 species
UUGAUCUGCCGGACCUGACUGCUAUCUAUUGGUACUAAGCCAUGCAUUCGUUGUACAAUACAAGCGGACUGCUCAGUAACACGUAGUUAACUUAACCUAUGGAUGGGCAUAACCUCGGGAAACUGAGAAUAAUACCCAAUGGACCACAGUGCCUGGAAUGGCUUGGUGGUUGAAAUGAUUUAUCGCCGUAGGAUAGGACUGCGGCCUAUCAGCUUGUUGGUGAGGUAAUGGCCCACCAAGGGCUAUNNAACAGGUACGGGCUCUGAGAGGAGGGGCCCGGAGAUGGGUACUGAGAACACGUGACCCCAGGCCCCCUAUUGGGGCGCAGCAGGCGAGAAACCUUUGCAAUGUGCGAAAGCACGACAAGGUUAAUCCGAGUGUCUCCUGCUAAAGGAGUCUUUUGUCAGUUGUAGAAUCACUGGUGAAUAAGGGGUGGGCAAGUUCUGGUGUCAGCCGCCGCGGUAAAACCAGCACCUCGAGUGGUCAGGAGGUUUAUUGGGCCUANAGCAUCCGUAGCCGGUUGCAUAAAGUUUCGGUUAAAUCUAUGCGCCCCCUUUACCGUAUAGGCCGCCGAAAAUACUGUGCAGCUUAGGGAGUGGGGAGAGGUACCCGGCUACUCGAUUAGGCAGGGGGUUACACUCCUUUGGAU